rnacentral:rRNA from 1 species
ACUCGUACGGGCGGCAGCAGUAAUGAAUAUUGGUCAACGGAGGCAACUCUGAACCAGCCAUGCCGCGUGCAGGAAGACGGCCCUAUGGGUUGUAAACUGCUUUGGACGGGAGAAAACCCUUUCCCGUGGAGCGCUGCUGUCCGACAUACCAGUCAGAAA